rnacentral:rRNA from 1 species
GAUGAACGCUGGCGGCGUGCUUAACACAUGCAAGUCGAACGGAAAGGCUCCUGCUUGCAGGGGUACUCGAGUGGCGAACGGGUGAGUAACACGUGGGUGAUCUGCCCAGCACUUCGGGAUAAGCCUGGGAAACUGGGUCUAAUACCGGAUAGGACGAUGGUUUGGAUGCCAUUGUGGAAAGUUUUUUCGGUGUGGGAUGAGCUCGCGGCCUAUCAGCUUGUUGGUGGGGUAAUGGCCUACCAAGGCGUCGACGGGUAGCCGGCCUGAGAGGGUGUACGGCCACAUUGGGACUGAGAUACGGCCCAGACUCCUACGGGAGGCAGCAGUGGGGAAUAUUACACAAUGGGCGCAAGCCUGAUGCAGCGACGCCGCGUGGGGGAUGACGGCCUUCGGGUUGUAAACUCCUUUCGCUAGGGACGAAGCGCAAGUGACGGUACCUGGAGAAGAAGCACCGGCUAACUACGUG